UCCAUGUCGGAAUUUUCCGCCUGCAGCUGCGCAUCCCGAAAAAUUUGAAUAUUCGUCGGUUCGGUGUUGAAACUGUCCGGAAGUAUUCCUUAUGAUAUCGAUAAUAAAUUGACGGAAGGUCGCCUUUACGCUUUACAGCACCAUUGCAAAGUACGCUCAACAUUAAAGCCAAUAGCUGUGACGAAAUCACAAAAUGCUUGUGCAAUCGUGAAAUUAUGCGCGAUAUCCGCCCAGAUGUUGUGGAUUCAUCCAAGACCAGAUCAGAGAAUCUAUCGGAUGUCCCUGAUCGGCCGGAGGAGGAGCGAACCGCCUUCAGGUCGCUUGGUCGCAGAGAAGGGCAAACAAACGAUUUAGCACCGGAGACCGUACAACAUAAGAGGUACAAUACAUAAUCCGCAUUGAUAUCUUCGGGAAUUGGACAUAUAGGCUGAAGGCAAUUGUCUUGGAACGCAUGUGGAAAUCUGCUAAGUGUAACAAGUGGCGCAGUAUGGAAAGAUGUUUGGAGUUGUGGCAAGAUUUGUUGCUCUGUGGCAUCCAGUCUUCAAACAGUGGCAUCCGUCUUCAAACCGGUUUUUAUUUUCCGAUUUACUGCCCAGAAUAUCGUUGUUCCAAACGAUUGAACCUCGGUACCAGUACCCCAUCAGAACAAAAACCAUUUUGCCCUACUACACCACGGAGUUUGUCGCUGGAAUAUCUACAACCCGAUGCAAAAUUGGACUGUUUUCUUAUAUAUAAUCGGAAAAGUGAGCCAACAGUAUAAUACGCUAACGCAACGGCGGAGAAAUACCGGUCCACCUGAUGUGAACAACUACAGAAUUCGACGAAUCAACAGUCUUUGGACUUUUUGAUAGGGAGAGCUACAUUCAUGGAACCACAGAUGGCAUAGCCACCCACAUCCCGAGUUGCACUUACAAUCUCCGUGAUGGGGCCAAUACCUGAUACC